rnacentral:misc_RNA from 1 species
GAUGAAGAACGUAGCGAAACGCGAAAGGUAAUGCGAAUUGCAGAAUCAGUGAGUCAUCGAAUCUUUGAACGCACAUUGCGCCUCUAGGUAUUCCUGGAGGCACGCCUGUUCGAGCGCCAUUACACACUCCAAGCUCUGCUUGAUGUUGGACGACCCGAGAGAUCGGACGUCUGGAACGUGUGGGCGUCGGGCGUCGGACCACGAGCGUAGCAAGACCAUCAAACAGUCAAGUCGUUCUGUGGAGCCGGCGGUCGACCGCCUCUUUUUACAACUUUAACCACAAGUUUGGCCUCGAAUCAGGCGGGGAUACCCGCUGAACUUAAGCAUAUCAAUAAGCGGAGGA